CAUGGUGGCGGCGCGGCGGAGGAUGCAGCGGCUGGCGGCGGGGCUGUUGGCGGCGGCCGCGGUGGCGCUGCUGCUGGACUGGAACGAGCCCUCGGGGGUGCCGGCGACUGCCCACCGGCGGCGGCGGCGGGCCGCGCUGCCUGCGCCCGGGGCGGAGGCGACCAACCUGCUGUGGGCAGUGCAGGUGUCAGAUAUUCAUAUCAGUAGAUUUCGGGAUCCCAAGCGAGCUCCUGACUUCGAAAAAUUCUGUUCUGAAACAAUUGAUAUAAUUCGGCCAGCACUUGUCCUAGCAACAGGUGACUUGACAGAUGCUAAGACAAGAGAUAAAUUGGGGUCUGAGCAGGUAGAAGUAGAGUGGCAAACUUACCAGUCGAUCCUGAAGAGAUCAAGGGUCAUGGAAAAGACCAAGUGGAUAGACAUCAAAGGGAAUCAUGAUUCAUUCAACAUUCCACACCUGGAUAGCAUUCAGAAUUACUACAGGAAAUACUCUGCCUGGCGUAAAGAUGGCUCUUUCCAUUACAUCCACACCACGUCUUUUGGGAACUAUUCCUUCAUCUGCGUGGAUGCUACCCUCAGCCCAGGCCCUAAGAGGCCCUACAAUUUCUUUGGGAUUUUAAACACGAAUCAAAUGAAUGAGCUGUCUUUGAUGGCAACAGAAAGUCUUCACAGCAAUCAUACUGUCUGGUUUGGCCAUUAUCCCACUUCAACAAUCAUCUCUCCAGCUCCAGGAAUAAGAACAUUAAUGAGUUCUGCCACAGCCUAUUUAUGUGGGCAUUUGCAUACACUGGGUGGGCUGAUGCCAGUGUUGCACAGUCAACACCGUCAUGGCACUUUGGAACUGGAGUUGGGAGACUGGAUGGAUAACAGGAGGUACCGAAUCCUUGCAUUUGAUCAUGACCUCCUUAGCUUUGCAGAUCUUAACUUUGAAGAAUGGCCUGUAGUUCUCAUCACCAAUCCCAAAUCUUUCCUUUAUAGCAGCGCUGCUCAUGAACCACUAGAAAAAAUUCUUUACUCAACUCAUAUCAGAAUUCUGGCCUUCUCUCCUUCUUUCAUUACCUCUGUCAAAGUCUGUAUAGAUGGAGUUCACUUGGGGAAUGCUCAUCAGGCAUCUGGCCCUCUCUACACACUGAAGUGGAGCCCGCAAAACUACAGUGAAGGGUUCCAUCACAUAGAGGUGACUGUCCAGGAUGCCUCAGGAAGAAUUAGCACUCGAAGCCAUAUAUUUGCUAUGGAAGAAAAACGCUCUCUUAGAUUUGGCUUUUGGCCAUCUCUUAUUCUUCUUACAGACCACUAUGUUCUAGCCCGUGUGCUCUUUGGGUUGAUUGUGUUGAUUCAGAUCGCCUUGCUUGUAAUCUUCAGAUACCUCCAAAAACCAGCCCUCAAAGAACGGCCAGGAUUACUAAGUUUGACCUCAUUUUCCCUUCAUGUCUUCAGUAAAAUGAAUACCUUUUAUUACUCAAUUCUGGUUCUGAAUUUAUACACCAUUCUAGGACCGUGGUUUGUAGGUGAACUGAUAGAUGGCCAGAUGGGGGCCUGUUUUUCCUUUGGGGUGUUUGUUGGUGGUCACUUCUUACAGGGCAGUCUGACAUUUGUUGUAGGGAUCUUACAGAUGCUGUUUUUCAAUCUGCCGUUGAUGGCCUACCUGUGCUGGUGCCUGUUGCUGCGGUGCCAGGGUUACAGCUUCCAUUCUCACAUCCGUCGCAUCCGACGCCUCUUGACCGUGCUGGUUCACCUGGCCAUGGCACUCCUGCUGCUCUGGCAGGUCUAUUCUUGCUAUUUCCUGCAGCGAACCUAUGGGACACUGGCUUUCUUCCUCUCCCCCAUGAGAACGUGGCUGGUAGCACUGACCUCAGCUCUGAUUUAUAAAACUUGGACAUUGAAGUCUUCUGAGCUCAGAACUUACAUGGUAGAAAUGAAAAACUGUCAGAGCUCCUGAAACAGUCUGAAUAUUCAGAGUUCUUUGACUUAAAACUGUGAAGCCACAACCUGUAGGUCUGUGUUGCUGAAAUUCCAUACAGCCCAACUAUUAAAUGGGCUGUAAUCCCUGGCUCCAAGGACCCAAAUAAGAAUCACAUGCUGUGAAAUGGGGUUGAUGUGUGCAUUAAAUAUGUGUGUGGGAAUUAUUGAAGAAAUUUUGAUAGAAAGUGAGAUGAGCAGGAUCGUCCGCCUGCUCCAAUGUCAUAGUGAAGAGCACAGUGCAGAAACUUAGAACUCUGCCCCGAAUCAGAGGCUCCUCUUAGCUGAUGCACUACAGGUAAUGGCUAUUGCAGUUUUCUGUUGGCUGACAAAAGUAAAAGUUAAUCUUGUCUCAUGUUAAUUUGAAUUUCCUCCUCCUUGCCUUAAAGCCUUUUCCAGUUUACUGAAACUUCAGUAGGAAGAUGUUAACUUUGCUGCUUGAGUGGUACAUUCAUAACACAGGAAGACUCCAUUUAUUUACCAAUACCUUCUUAAAAACCUAAGCUGUUCUUUAAUAGGAUAAAGGACAGAGAUGCAUGAAAUAAGCAAAGAAAGGGGCAAAUCAUGGCCGUGCUGCUAAAGUACUUUACCUAGUGCUGGCAGAUAUUACUACCAUGUGUGACAAAUCUAUCUUUCAUAGUAUAAAUGCUUCUGUUGCAAUAUUCUACUGGAUAUUUUUGUAAUCUGCAUGGAGAAG